UCCGUAGGUGAACCUGCGGAAGGAUCAUUAUCGUGGGGCUUCGGCCCUCUCGAGAUAGAACCCUUGCCUUUUUGAGUACCUUCGUUUCCUCGGCAGGCUCGCCUGCCAAUGGGGACCCCAAUAAACCCUUUGUAACACCUGUAAUCGUCUGACAAAACAAACAAAAAUUAAAACUUUCAACAACGGAUCUCUUGGUUCUGGCAUCGAUGAAGAACGCAGCGAAAUGCGAUACGUAGUGUGAAUUGCAGACUUCCGUGAAUCAUCGAAUCUUUGAACGCACAUUGCGCCCUCUGGUAUUCCGGAGGGCAUGCCUGUCUGAGCGUCAACUCAUCCUCAAACAUAUGUUUGGUCUUGGAAGACGAGAGUCUAUGGCCCUCGCUUCUGGAAACUAUUGGCAGUGGCUCACGCUUUCGCAACGUAGUAAGCACAUAUUCGUUGCAUUGUUUGCUUGAGAAGCUUGCCAUGAACCCAAAUUACUCAUGUUUGACCUCAGAUCAGGUAGGGAUACCCCCUGAACUUAAGCAUAUCAAUAAGCGGAGGAA
rnacentral:rRNA from 1 species